rnacentral:rRNA from 1 species
AUUGAACGCUGGCGGCAUGCCUUACACAUGCAAGUCGAACGGCAGCACGGGAGCAAUCCCGGUGGCGAGUGGCGAAAGGGGGAGUAAUAUAUCGGAACGCGCACAGUCGUGGGGGAUAACGCAGCGAAAGCUGUGCUAAUACCGCAUACGCUCACCGGAUGAAAGCGGGGGAUCGCACGAUCUCGCGCGAUUGUAGCGGCCGAUAUCAGAUUAGCUAGUGGGUGAGGUAAAGGCCCACCGAGGGGACGAUCUGUAGCUGGUCUGAGAGGAAGACCCGGCACGCUGGAACGGAGACACGGUCCAGACUCCUACGGGAGGCAGCAGUGGGGAAUUUUGGACAAUGGGGGCAGGCCUGAUCCAUCAAUGCCGCGUGCAGGAUGAAGGCCUUCGGGUUGUAAACUGCUUUUGUACGGAACGAAACGGCCCUUUCUAAUACAGGGGGCUAAUGACGGUACCGUAAGAAUAAGCACCGGCUAACUACGUGCCAGCCGCCGCCGUAA